CCUACGGGUGGCUGCAGUGGGGAAUAUUGGGCAAUGGGCGCAAGCCUGACCCAGCAACGCCGCGUGAAGGAAGAAGGCUUUCGGGUUGUAAACUUCUUUUAUUGAGGACGAAACAAAUGACGGUACUCAAUGAAUAAGCCACGGCUAACUACGUGCCAGCAGCCGCGGUACUACGUAGGUGGCAGGCGUUAUCCGGAUUUACUGGGUGUACAGGGCGGGUAGGCGGAACUGCAAGUCAGAUGUGAAAACCAUGGGCUCAAACCAUGGCCUGCAUUUGAUACGGUAGUUCUUGAGUGAUGGAGAGGCAGGUGGAAUGCCGUGUGUAGCGGUGAAAUGCGUAGAUAUACGGAGGAACACCAGUGGCGAAGGCGGCCUGUUGGACAUUAACUGACGCUGAGGCGCGAAAGCGUGGGGAGCAAACAGGAUUAGAUACCCCUGUAGUC
rnacentral:rRNA from 1 species